rfam:Drechmeria coniospora strain ARSEF 6962 chromosome, whole genome shotgun sequence.
GAAUUAGUAACUUAACUGGCAAAGGGUUUCCCUGUCACGGAAAUAGAUGUCCGUUCGAAUCGGAUCUAAUUCG